rnacentral:lncRNA from 10 species
GGCGCCGCCGCCGCCGCCGCAGCCGCCGGAGCCGCAAUGCCUAAAGGAGGAAGAAAGGGAGGCCACAAAGGCCGGGCGAGGCAGUAUACAAGCCCUGAGGAGAUCGACGCGCAGCUGCAGGCUGAGAAGCAGAAGGCCAGGGUGAGUACGUGCCUGUCCAGGCCACGCCAGUGGCCCAGGGUGGCGCUUUGCCAAUUUGGUUCAUAGAGAGGCCAGGCAAGGACUACCCAUUCGCAGGGACAAGCCAGCACCAUCAGCAUGCUCUCCAUCCCUGGAGACGUUGUUUAGCCUCUCCUCCUCUGUGACUCAUGCCUCACCUCCAGCCAGAGCUGAUUUAGUAGUUCCCUCUCCUCUGCUCCCAUAGUACAUUGUCCAGGCCACCGUUAGGAAAUAGAAUACAUUCCCAUCGUCAGCAUCUGCAUCUUACCAUAUCAUUAGAUUGAUGCCUGGAUCAAGGGCCUAAGGGAGCAGUCAGGGCCAGAUGGGUACACAGCUGUGACGUACCCC